rnacentral:rRNA from 1 species
AGAGUUUGAUCAUGGCUCAGAAUCAACGCUGGCGGCGUGCCUCAGACAUGCAAGUCGAACGAUUAAGACUUCCUUCGGGAAGUGUAUAAAGUGGCGCACGGGUGAGUAACACGUAAGUAAUCUACCUUCGAGUGGGGAAUAACGUUCGGAAACGAACGCUAAUACCGCAUAAUGCAGCGGCAUCGCAAGAUGACAGUUGUUAAAGGAAUUUAUUUCGCUUGAAGAGGAGCUUGCGGCAGAUUAGCUAGUUGGUAAGGUAACGGCUUACCAAGGCUACGAUCUGUAUCCGGUCUAAGAGGACGGUCGGACACACUGACACUGAAUAACGGGUCAGACUCCUACGGGAGGCAGCAGUCGGGAAUUUUGGGCAAUGGGCGAAAGCCUGACCCAGCAACGCCGCGUGAAGGAUGAAGUAUUUCGGUAUGUAAACUUCGAAAGAAUGGGAAGAAUAAAUGACGGUACCAUUUAUAAGCUCCGGCUAACUACGUGCCAGCAGCCGCGGUAAUACGUAGGGAGCAAGCGUUGUUCGGAUUUACUGGGCGUAAAGGGCGCGUAGGCGGCGCGGUAAGUCACUUGUGAAAUCUCUGAGCUUAACUCAGAACGGCCAAGUGAUACUGCAGUGCUAGAGUGUAGAAGGGGCAAUCGGAAUUCUUGGUGUAGCGGUGAAAUGCGUAGAUAUCAAGAGGAACACCUGAGGUGAAGACGGGUUGCUGGUCUAACACUGACGCUGAGGCGCGAAAGCCAGGGGAGCAAACGGGAUUAGAUACCCCGGUAGUCCUGGCCCUAAACGAUGAAUACUUGGUGUCCGGGGUUUCAAGACCCUGGGUGCCGUCGCUAACGUUUUAAGUAUUCCGCCUGGGGAGUACGCUCGCAAGAGUGAAACUCAAAGGAAUUGACGG